rnacentral:miRNA from 1 species
AAUUGCACAAGUCCCGGCCUGC